rnacentral:rRNA from 1 species
GAUCCUGGCUCAGGAUGAACGCUGGCGGCGUGCACAACACAUUCAAGUCGAACGGACGACCCGGAGCUUGCUCCGGGAAGUUAGUGGCGGACGGGUGAGUAACGCGUGAGCAACCUGCCUGUGUGAUCGGAAUAACGUCCGGAAACAGACGCUAAUACCGCAUGACUCACGGACUUCGCAUGGAGACCGUGGCAAAGAUUUAUCGCACACAGAUGGGCUCGCGUCCGAUUAGG